CCCGCCGGCGACCGGCGCACGGGUGAGUAACACGUAUGAAACCUGCCCGUAGCAGGGGGAUAAGCGGAAGAAAUUCCGUCUAAUACCGCGUAACAACCCAUGGAGGCAUCUCUGUGGGUUUAAAGGAAGCGAUUCCGGCUACGGAUGGUCAUGCGUCGCAUUAGCUUGUUGGCGGGGUAACGGCCCACCAAGGCGACGAUGCGUAGGGGUUCUGAGAGGAAGGUCCCCCACACUGGUACUGAGACACGGUCCAAACUCCUACGGAAGGCAGCAG
rnacentral:rRNA from 1 species